AACCGCGGUUAAACGAAUAGCCCUAGUUGAUAGCAUCACGGCGUAAAGGGUGGUUAAGGAAGAUAAAAAUAAAGUUAAAUGGCCCCCAGGCUGUCAUACGCUUCUAGGAGUCCGAAGCCCAAAUACGAAAGUUACUUUAAUAAAAUUCACCCGACCCCACGAAAGCUGAGAAA
rnacentral:rRNA from 1 species